rnacentral:rRNA from 1 species
UACGAAGGGGGCUAGCGUUGUUCGGAAUUACUGGGUGUAAAGCGCACGCAGGCGGAUUGAUAAGUCAGGGGUGAAAUCCCGGGGCUCAACCUCGGAAUUGCCUUUGAUACUGUCUGUCUUGAGACAGGGAGAGGUGAGUGGAAUUCCUAGUGUAGAGGUGAAAUUCGUAGAUAUUAGGAAGAACACCAGUGGCUAAGGCGGCUCACUGGUCCGGUACUGACGCCGAGGUGCGAGAGCGUGGGGAGCAAACAGG